GGGUCCUAGCUGCGUUGCCCUGGUAACAACUGUAAACAAAAGGCUGCGGUUAACUGCUCCGCUCCCUGACAGGAUUUUUCAUUCAUUCGUGCCAAUGAAACAGGAGGCCUCGAUUCAUGCAGAAGAUAAGGUUUGAAACCCAGACAGCACGAAGCAUCUUGCCGACGUCAAAAUCAGAUCAACAGACAGGGACAUCAGCCUUCUCUUGGGAAUAGGCCAGAUAUGCCAAACAAGAAAUGGUGUUUUGCCCCUGCGGUUGUGAAGAGGAUGCUGUGGAGGUGGCAGCAUGAACGUGUCACACAGACAUUGGCUAAACUAC